GCCGAAGUGGUGGAAUUGGUAGACACGUACGUUUGAGGGGCGUAUGCCUGCGGCGUGUGGGUUCGAGUCCCACCUUCGGCA
rnacentral:tRNA from 1 species